rnacentral:rRNA from 1 species
GACGAACGCUGGCGGCGUGCCUAAUACAUGCAAGUUGAGCGCUGAAGGUUGGUACUUGUACCAACUGGAUGAGCAGCGAACGGGUGAGUAACGCGUGGGGCAUCUGCCUUUGAGCGGGGGACAACAUUUGGAAACGAAUGCUAAUACCGCAUAAAAACUUUAAACACAAGUUUUAAGUUUGAAAGAUGCAAUUGCAUCACUCAAAGAUGAUCCCGCGUUGUAUUAGCUAGUUGGUGAGGUAAAGGCUCACCAAGGCGAUGAUACAUAGCCGACCUGAGAGGGUGAUCCGCCACAAUGGGACUGAGACACGGCACAAACUCCUACGGGAAGCAGCAGUAGGGGAUCUUCGGCAAUGGACGAAAGUCUGACCGAGCAACGCCGCGUGAGUGAAGAAGGUUUUCGGAUCGUAAAACUCUGUUGGUAGAGAAGAACGUUGGUGAGAGUGGAAAGCUCAUCAAGUGACGGUAACUACCCAGAAAGGGACGGCUAACUACGUG